AUGGUUUCCGUGUCUGUGUUUUACACCACACGGUACUGUUUUUCGGUUUUCAUGGUACGUUUAUUGUUUUGUAAGGAGUGUUCAGUUUAUGUGUUUAAUAAACAACCAUGGACACUUACCACGCCGCAAAUUGGUCCUCCGAUCCUUCUCGCCUCUCCUCUUCAGACGAAGAGGAGGAAAACCAUUACACGUGGUUCAUUUUCAUGCCAGCCAGAAACCCACAUAUCUGCCUCUCAUUGGCCUCACCGGUUACCUGGAACACAAACACAAGAACAUUAUCCCUCACUCACUCCUCUGAACAGAUCUGAUAGGUCAUUGGUGUAAGCAAUAUGGCUGAAACCAGGUGGAGCUACUGCUUUACAUCUUCACAGAUGUCUCAGAUCCACCAAGGCAAUCAAUGACAGCAGAAAGCAGGAGACAAUGUUUUUUAAUAUACAAUAAGUCACCUCACUUUUAAGUCGUCCUUCCCAGACCGAACGUCACAGUAGCCAGCAGCCCCAAAAACACCAGCCCACUCCUCCCCUCCUCGAAGGCCUUGGCCGCCCCUUCAGUCACCCUCUUCCUUCCAGAAACAUCCAGAGACACAAGCAGUGGGAGAAUCCCAGAACUCCCUCCAGAAGCAGCCUAACCGCCUCAUCCCCCUCCCUUUCUUAGUCAUCCUCUGCGGUGGACAUUCCAGAGGCAAAGCAGUCAUCAGAGAGAUCCAGGUGCCUGAGGGCGUGGAGCUGGUUGAGGAUGGAGAUCACCCUGGCAAGGGAAAUGUCCAGCUGCCUCAGCUUGUGCAGUCAGGGAUCCCGGCACCACAGCAGGGUACUCAGCUCAGUGACGAGGGUGCUGGAGAUGUCCAGGCCCUCUAGCUGUGUGAGAGUACAGAGGUCCUCCAGGAAUGGGUCUGAGGUCUGUGUAUGCCAGGUUUAGUGUCCUCAGGCCCAGCAGAGAGCUAAAGCCCACCUGGGCCCCUUCCUAAACCUCCAGGGACUCCCAGCCCAUCUGGUGCCCACUCAGAGUGAGCCUCUGCAGGCUGACUCUGCACUCCGGGUUGGAGACCAGGCCUGAUAGGAUGUGGGCACCAAUGAGGCCCCCAGGGACCCAGGAAGCGUCCAGCUCCUGCAGCCGGUGAGGGCAGAGGACCAGGCAGAAGGCCUCCUCAAAGAGGGGGUUGGAGCGCAUACACCCUCGGUACAGACAGUUGUUCACAACUGCGGAAGUGGCAGACCAUUCGGUCGUUGUAAGGUAAAGCUGAAAUGUGGAUGAGAACGUCGAUGACCAGGAUGCAGACCUAGCUUUAAGCAGCAAGGCCUAUUUCUAAAAAUGACCUAAAAGCAACCUAUUGAAUAGAAAUGAGCUUUUUUAAACCCAUAGAAUGUUUGUUAACUAUUACAUUUAUUUAAUUCCAUUUGUGUGUGUCUGUUGAAUGUCCUCUGGUGCCCUCCCUCCCUCCUACUCACCCUGGGCAUCCAUCUUGUGCAGUAUCUGAUCAACCAUUUCCUGUGGGAGCGGUGGGGCCCAGCUGAGCCUCCGGGACACAUCUGGUUGCAUGCUGCAGAAGGAGUCCAGGCUGAGACACCUGGGCCAGACAAAGCUCCGACAGGGCCACGAGACAGAACUCCUCAGCCUGCAGUCAGACACACAGCUGGCUUUGGUUCUGCAGUGCAUGACAUUGCAGCUGAUGCAACCACAUUUGACAUGAUUGUACACUUGGUAUGUGUCAUUUCAUUACAGCAGGGACAUGAGCAUUUUAUGCUCAGGCAGCCUGAAUUUGCCACUCUGUAUUUUAAGUAUUU
ensembl:lncRNA